CUACGGGGGAAAGCAGUGGACCUUCGGGCCUUGCGCGAUUGGAUAUGCCCAGGGGGGAUUAGCUAGUUGGUGGGGUCAUGGCUCACCAAGGCGACGAUCACUAGCUGGUCUGAGAGGAUG
rnacentral:rRNA from 1 species